GUCUGCUCUUCCACUGGGGAGUGGAAGAGAGAUAUCCUGUUCAAGGCUGGUUCAGCCACCAGCUAGAUUCAGGAGCCCUGACUCCUGAUGGAAUGGUGAACCAGGGUGGAAACCAGGACAUGAAAUAAGGCUGCAGAAACUACGUGCUGAAAGGAAUAUAGUUGUGUGGGGAAUCUAGUAUGUCAACAUCACCAGUGUAGCGUUUACUGCAUGCAAGAACUUUCCAGCAGUCCCUGGGGAACACUUCCUCUAAUCCCUUGCUAACUAAAAUGAAGUGUGGCAUCAGCCCAGCAGCGGCAGUGCCCCCCGGAGGUGUUAGAAAGGCAGAACUUCAGGCUCUACCUUGGAGCUGCUGAAUCUGAAUCUCAUUUAACAAGAUCCUCAGGAGAAGCAAAUGCACUGUCCUACCACAGUCUUCAUAACAUUCUUCCAGGGACAAGUCCAUCUGCAAGAUGCAGAAAUGAGCAUUGAUCUGGGGGAAUUUGAUCAGCAAUAAUCAAUCCCUCUAGCCACAGGAACUGGUGCCUGAUAAUAACA
rnacentral:lncRNA from 10 species